UACGGGGGGGGCAAGCGUUGUUCGGAAUUACUGGGCGUAAAGGGCUCGUAGGCGGCCAACUAAGUCGGAUGUGAAAUCCCCAGGCUUAACUUGGGAACUGCAUCCGAUACUGGAUGGCUUGAAUCCGGGAGAGGGAUGCGGAAUUCCAGGUGUAGCGGUGAAAUGCGUAGAUAUCUGGAGGAACACCGGUGGCGAAGGCGGCAGCCUGGACCGGCAUUGACGCUGAGGAGCGAAAGCCAGGGGAGCAAACGGG
rnacentral:rRNA from 1 species